AUGAGCCAGUAGUUGUGUAGCCACCAACCAACCGUUGUGCUUAUUUACUUACUCUCCACCCUGUUAUUAUUCAUUAGUACUAGUGCAUUUACAAUGUUUAAUGUGUUUUUUUAAUCUAUGUUUAAUAUGUGAGAGAUUGGAGGAUACCAACGUGCUAGCGAGCAGGCUUCUUUUACAAUGGCGCAACCAGUCACACCUCUUUCUGUGACGCAAUAGAUGAGAGCCGACAUGAAGCUAUAGGAACACCGCCAUCUUCAGUGGGGAGAACUUGCUUGAAAAAUGAGGGAAAAAGGAGAAUGUAUUGAUGUCAAAUCCUGUAGGCCAGGGUCAUGUAGCCGGGGAUAGGUUAAAGAAGACCCGCUGCGCCGUUGCUGCAACAAAAAUACAUGUGGCCAAUUAGUUUAUGCAAAAAUGCUGGGUUGUAGGUUUUGGAUUGAAUUCCAUAUCUAUUGUAUUAC
rnacentral:lncRNA from 1 species